AACCUGAACAAAAUUAACAAAUAAACAUAUAACUAGUUAUAGCUAAUCAAAUUGAUAAAGAAAUACAAGCCGUUAUUUUAUUCGAUUCGACAUAGAAGGUUAUUUUAUAUCACGAUAUCAUCAUCAUCAUCAUCAUCGUCGUCGUCAUCAUCGUCAUCAUCUUCAUUAUAAUCGUUAAGAUAGAUUCGUACACGUGUAUUUCUCACCGCUAGUUACAGCAAUAGACGAGAAUAGUGGGACAAAUUGCGCAUUACGUGUCAUAGUACGUGUCAAUGUACAUACGUACAUAGGCAUAUCGUAUUUAGAGUCAUACGAUGUGUUAUAAUCAUUUUUCUCUAGGACGUACGUAAGUAUUACGUUCGUAUUCAUUUCACAAGGAAGAGAAAAGGAAGGGAGAUCACAAAAAAUUAAUAAAUAACAACAUUUGAACUUUCUCUCUCUCUCUCUCUCUUUCUCUAUAUCUCCUAUUUUUCUUUUUUUUUUUCUUUUUGCGAAGAUCGUAAAAGAUGUAAUGAAUACAACUUAUCCACUUUUCAUAAAAGAAAUUGAAAAAAGAAAAAGUAAAGUACAUUAAAAGCGAUAAAGAAAAUUCUCCCAAUUAUUUUAGCGCACGAUGAGUUAGUAGCUUGUAUGUGUUUUCAUGAAUACAUCGACUGAGCUAGAGAAUUACAAACGAGAUAACGAGCCUUGUAGAUAGUAACAAUAAUAACAAUAAGAACACGUCAACCGAAGGAAAGAGCCGUUCUCAUCCAUCCAGUCAAGCCAGUCGCCGCGAAUAAAAGUCUAAACACGAAGAGUAGAGAGCAAUUGAAAGCGAGCGGCACAAAACUCUUUUUCUAGUUAAUUUAUCCGAGAGGAGGAGCCGGAGGUCAAUCGACUUGAUACGUAUCGUUAUGACGAAGAGAAAAAGAGAAAGAGAUAGAGAGAGAUAGACAGACAGACAGACAGACAGACAGAGAGAGAGAGAGAGAGAGAGAGAGAGAGAGAGAGAGAGAGAGAGAGAGAGAGAGAGAGAGAGAGAGAGAGAGAGAGAGAGAGAAUAGGGGAAGAAACUUUACGAGGAUAAAAGAAGAAAGACGAGGAUAGAAACCACUGAAAGACUUUGUCUUUUUAUUUUUAACAAACCGAAUUUGGAUCAAAAGUAAUAGGAUAUUUCUUCAAGACGUUCGCAAAGUUUAAAACAAACCUUUAUAUUUCUUUACACUCUCUUAAAAUAUACGUAAUAGAAAUUUGAAAAAAGAAAAAGAAAAUGUUAAAUUGAAAAGUACGUGAUUCUCAUGAAUUCGUAAUUAUUUAUAUAUUAAAUCUUAUUAUAAUUUAAAGUUUGUCGUAUUUGAAUAAAAAAAAAAAAAAAAAAAAAACGGAGAUGCUGUUUCUUCAAGACGUUCGCAAAGUUUAAAAUAAAUCUUUGUACUUUCUUUUUGCUCUUUUAAAUCUUACAUAAUAGAAAUCUAAAAAAAAAAGAGAGAGAGAAAGAGAAAGAGAGAGAGAGAAAAAAGAAGGAAGGAAACACGUAAAAAAAAAAUUUUUUUUUAAUUAUAAACUAUACGAUUCUCGUGAAAUCUUACGAAUUAUUCGUAACGUUAAAACUUAGAAAUAAAAGACAUCAAUUAUACAACUCAACUAUCAAAUAACGCUACGUUUGUUAAACUACAUCGGUCUGCGACGUGUUAAAGACUAGUAACACUUAAAAUUCGACGCAUCACGAGCGAUAUUCAAAUGCCACACCGGAAACAUGAACGUGAUUAAGCGCGUGGACUUUAAUCCUAUCGUUACGGCGUUGACUAAGACCAUCGAAUGAACGAACUACGAGAAUGAGAUAAAGAGAAACUGAAAGAAAGAGGGGAAGAGAAGUCUUAAUACGAGGUAAGAGAGAGAGAGAGAAAGAGAGAGAAAGAGAGAGAGAGAGAGAGAGAGAGAGAGAGAGAGAGAGAGAAAAGAAACGGCACAAAAUUAUUUCAUAGAAAAAUUUUUCUUAUUAAAGUUUUAUGUUAGCGAAGAGAAAUCACGAAGGAGAGCUCAAGGACGAGCAUGAAUACCAUUUAACAAGGGUUAAAAUAAAAAAACGGAAGCGUCGUUGUCGGUCACGGCAUGCGAUCGAAAGAUGAUUAAAACGUAAAUUUCCCGGUAAAGUGAGAAUUCUCAUGAAAACUUGGAGAACCGGCUAAUUUUUUUCAUGAACGACAUAGACAAGGAUACGAGAAACUGCUCGAUAUUUUUGUUAGACUCAAUCGAAACGAACCGUGGCGAAGGCGAGAUUGGCUGAAUCAGUUAAUUGAGACGAAUUCGUUUUAUCAAGUGGAGUAUAACGAUGGGGGAAUGGGGAAGGAGAGGGUUAAAUAUCGCCGAAGCUGAGUCAAGCAAAUUAAGGGAGUUACUUUUGAUUUAAAUGAUGUCAUAUUAAUUCGAUCAAAAGAACGAUCGACGUGACAUCGUAAUAUCGAUCUUUAAAUCGAUAUGUUUUUUUUAAGUCGCUCAUGAACUAUUUAAAUUUACGAUCUUUAUUCUUAAAUAGAAAUUCUACGGUUAAUAGCGUAAGCGUUCACAUUUAUCGA